rnacentral:rRNA from 1 species
GACGAUCAGUAGCCGACCAGAGGGGGUGGUCGGCCACAUAGGAACUGAGACACGGUCCAAACUCCUACGGGAGGCAGCAGGGGGGAAUAUUGCACAAUGGGCGAAAGCCUGAUGCAGCAACGCCGCGUGAGUGAUGAAGGCCUUCGGGUCGUAAAACUCUGUCCUCAAGGAAGAUAAUGACGGUACUUGAGGAGGAAGCCC